AGAAAGAGGAAAUAGGUUUUUUUUUUUUACGUUACAACGUUUCAUCUCCUCACUCUCUCGUUCUCACGCCUCCCUCACAUUCAUGGAGAUUCCGCCGCGCCGGUAAUCCCCUACGGUGGCGGCGGUGAUCGAACUCUACGCUUCUCAGAUUCUCCCUCUCUCUUCCUAAUUUCGGAUUUAGUUUAACACGAUUCCUCAUAAUACGGAUCAAAAGCAAACCCUAGGCCUAACCAACGACGAGAUUAAAUGCAAACCACUGCGAAUCACAGAGCAAGACCAUGGGGGAAUCGUUCAAGGAGCUUAAUACUACACCACAACAUCAAAAACGCAGCAAGAGAUGAAGAAGGAGGAGUCGAUUUGAAGACUUACCUGGAUGACGAAGAUGGCGAAUCGUUGAGGAAAACCGGAGGGGAGAAUCAGAAGCUCUUCAGUGUGCGAAAUAAACGCAAUUGAGGAAAUUGAUGAAUUCUUCCGAGAUGGAUGUGAAUCGCGGCUUGAAGCUUCUACGUGGAGAAGAUGGAGUUGAUGAUUGAAGUUGCAAGAUAAUUGAAGAUUCAGUUAAACGAUGGUGAUUUGAUGAUGAGUUUCUGAAGUAUGAAGAUUGUGGAGUUUGUUGGUGAUUGUGCAGAGAAAUGGUGGAGUGGAGAUGAAGAUGAUGAAUUGAGAUUGAUGAGUAUGUGAAAAAUGGUUGGGGAAUGGAGAGAGUGAUGAGAAUGAGAAGAUGCAGAGAGGGAGAAGAGUGAUUGGAGAUGAAGAUGGUGAAUUUCAGAGGGAGAGUGAAUCGUGGAAUGUGUGAAGGUGAAGUGAAGAUUGAAGAAAUUGUGAAAAAAUGGUGGAGAGGAAAGUGAUGAAUGGAAGUUCUGAUUUAUAGAUAUUCUUCAGGUAAAUUCUCCCUCUGAAUUUUUCUGUUACUCUCUUCUGAUUUUCUGUUAUGACUCUGUUAGCUGUUAUGAAAUGUAACUGAUCUUUUGGUAGUUAGGAGUUUAUAACUGAUUCGGUUAUGUGUUAGAGGGUGGUUCUGGUAGUUAGACUGAUAACCGAUUCUAUUUUUCUGUUAUAGGUUAGAAAAGUUUGUUACAAAAAUAGGUUAGAAUUAGUUAGAAAUAGUUAGGUUGUUAGGAUAGGUUAGUUACCUGUAAAACUGAAAUUGGUUAGGAAGUGGUAGUUAGGGAAUUUAGUUAAAUUCUGUUAAUUGUGUGAAUUAGCUUGGAACUGUCAGUGAUUUUUUUCUGGUUUUUCUUAUUGGUUUUGUAAUGUGAUUGGUCAUUGUGUGGUUGAGUGUAUUGGAACUGGUUUUGUAUAGUUAUGUUUUGAAUGUGGCUGUUGUAGGUUUUUAUGUGAUAGUAAUAGGUGGUUAGAGAUGUUGGUUAAUGGAAUGCUGCUGGGUUGAUAAUUAGAACUGCUUGAAUGCCAUUUUUUGUUUUUUGGAAUGCUGCAGGGAUGUUUUUAAUAGCUGCUGUUGCUGAAGUAAUGUCGACUGUGAGUCAUUGAUGUUUGCUGUUGAUGAGACUGCAGCAAGUAUAUGGCAUUGGACUUGAAGGGUGAUGGAAUGGGAAGAAGGACUCUGCGGUUUAGACUUAGGCUUGUAUUAGUAAUAGGUUUUUGAACUGGUGUAUGUGGACCUGCUGUGUAUAAUAUGGUAUUUGAAAUGUGUGGACUUUGAUGUAAUGUGAAUGAUUGAAGUAUGAUAUGAAUUUUUUCGUAAUGGAUGCGUGUUUUGGACACUUGAAUGAUGAUGGUUGGUGGAUAAUGCUAGUAUUUGAACCAAUGAGCGUGUUUACAUUUUUUACAAUGACGAAUGACGUAGAAUAUAGAAUUUGGAUGAUGCAGAAAUAGUUUGAAUCUACCUUAAAUGAGGACCUAGAAACAAUAGUAAAAUUCCAACUCUUCGAAAUCCUUAAUCCACAAGAACAAUCGUAAACUCUUUAAGUUCCAGUUCAAAUCGCACAGGAGAACCAAAUGAAUCAGUCUUUGUUUGAUAUGUACACCUCAAAAUCAAUAUGAAACCUUAAUAAUCCAAAAUCCUUGAUCCCAAUGUCAAUUGUUGAUUAAUGAUGCAUGUGUUAUGUGAAAGACCUAAUGAAAGUAUGCGUAUGAAAUGUAAAGCUUACGCCAAUUAGGAUAAAAUCAGAUGGGCAAAUUUUGGGGUGCAACAGCUGCCCCUAUUUAAUCGUCUUAAUUCUGAAGGUGAGAUUGGCGCUAGCCUUUCGAACAUUCAAGGUAGAAGAUGAUUAAAUACCAAGUGAACCUGAAAAUUUGCUUGAAGGAAGAUGGAAUCCACUGGAGGAAAAGAUGGUGUCAACUCCAUUGAGGAAGAAUGUAUCAAUUCUGGAUUGAUCAAAUUAACUCUGAGUUAGAA